rnacentral:rRNA from 1 species
UAAUACCCUAUAGGUUACAGAUGCUGGAAUGCUCUGUAAUCAAAAGUUCCGGCGCCCUAGGAUGGAUCUGCGGCCGAUUAGGUUGUUGUUGGGGUAAUGGCCCAACAAGCCAGUAAUCGGUACGGGUUGUGGGAGCAAGAGCCCGGAGUUGGAUUCUGAGACACGAAUCCAGGCCCUACGGGGCGCAGCAGGCGCGAAAACUUUACAAUGCGGGCAACCGUGAUAAGGGAACCUCGAGUGCCUGUAAAUGCAGGCUGUUCAGAUGCCUAAAACACAUCUGGAGAAAGGGCCGGGCAAGACCGGUGCCAGCCGCCGCGGUAAUACCGGCGGCUCGAGUGGUGGCCACUUUUAUUGGGCUUAAAGCGUUCGUAGCUGGGUUGUUAAGUCUCUUGGGAAAUCUGGCGGCUUAACCGUCAGGCGUCUAAGGGAUACUGGCAAUCUUGGAACCGGGAGAGGUGAGGGGUACUUCGGGGGUAAGAGUGAAAUCCUGUAAUCCUCGAGGGACCACCUGUGGCGAAGGCGCCUCACCAGAACGGCUUCGACAGUGAGGGACGAAAGCUGGGGGAGCAAACUGGAUUAGAUACCCGGGUAGUCCCAGCCGUAAACUAUGCGCGUUAAGUGUAU